rnacentral:snRNA from 1 species
AUACUUACCUGGCAGGGGAGAUACCAUGAUCACGAAGGUGGUUUUCCCAGGGUGAGGCUCAUCCAUUGCACUGCGGAUGUACUGACCCCUGCGAUUUCCCCAAAUGCGGGAAACUCGACUGCAUAAUUUGUGGUAAUGGGGGACUGCGUUUGCGCUCUCCCCUG